rnacentral:rRNA from 1 species
AUGGCUGCCCGCGCGACGGCAACGUUCCUCCCCGUCCUCUCCCUGCUCCUGCUCCGUGCCGGCGCGGACGACAACUCGGCGUUCGUGUACGCCGGCUGCUCGCAGGGGCGCUACGACGCCGGGACGCAGUACGAGUCGGGCGUGGACUCCGUGCUCACAUCCCUCGCCAACAGCGCGCCCUACGCCCCCUACGCCAACAUCACUUCCCCCUCGGCUUUACCCCCCGUGGCUGGCCUCUACCAGUGCCGCUCCGACCUCCCGGCUUCCGUCUGCACCGGCUGCGUGCGCUCCGCCAUCUCCAGGCUCUCCUCCCUCUGCUCCUGGUCCGCCGGCGGCGCCGUGCAGCUGCGCUCGUGCUUCGUGCGCUACGGGAACGACUCGUUCGUCGGGAAGCCCAACACGGCCGUGCUCUUCAAGAAGUGCGGCGGCUCGCCCGGGGACGCCGGCGGCGCCGCCAUGAGGGACUCGGCGCUCGGAGGGCUCGCGUCCUCGGUGGCGCCCGCCGGGGGUGGCUACCGCGCCGGCGGAGCGGGGGGCGUGCAGGCCAUGUCGCAGUGCGUGGGGGACCUCGACGCCAAGGCCUGCUCCGACUGCGUCUCGGCCGCGGCCGCGCAGCUCAAGGCCGGGUGCGGCUACGCCUCCGCCGGCGAAGUGUACCUCGGCAAGUGCUACGCGCGCUUCUGGUCCAACGGUGGCGGCUUCGUCAGCGGCGCAAGCUCGGGAAAUGGAUACGGAUUUGGGCCGCGCAUGAACGGUGAGCGGCUGGCUCUCGCCGUCGGCGGUUUCUUCGCUUCGUUGGCCUACUUUUCAGUUCUACUCGUCUAG